CGCGCCUGCGCAGAAGCGCCCGGGGACGGGCGGGGGGUGAAGAAGGGGCCGGCCUUCGAGCGACAGCGACGCAAGAUGGCAGCCACCACGGGCUCGGGAGUAAAAGUCCCUCGCAAUUUUCGACUGUUGGAAGAACUCGAAGAAGGCCAGAAAGGAGUAGGAGAUGGCACAGUUAGCUGGGGUCUAGAAGAUGACGAAGACAUGACACUUACAAGAUGGACAGGGAUGAUAAUUGGGCCUCCAAGAUUUCAGUUUAUAUAUUUGAACCUCCUCAGAUGCUGUUUAAUCCCUCUAAAUGGACCACUAGAUGUCGCUGUUUACAAAGAAACAGUUAUUUGUGCAGCAUGCAGUGAGGAAAGGGCACAGGUGCCUCAGAAGGGAACCAUCGGAGGGUACCUUCAAGGGUGCCACCUGAUGGGGAGACGUCACCACAGUGUGGUCUUCAGACACAAACAAUUUAUGAAAACCGAAUAUACAGCCUUAAAAUAGAAUGUGGACCUAAAUACCCAGAAGCACCCCCCUUUGUAAGAUUUGUAACAAAAAUUAAUAUGAAUGGAGUUAAUAGUUCUAAUGGAGUGGUGGACCCAAGAGCCAUAUCUGUGCUAGCGAAAUGGCAGAAUUCAUAUAGUAUCAAAGUUGUCCUGCAGGAGCUUCGGCGCCUAAUGAUGUCUAAAGAAAAUAUGAAACUCCCUCAGCCACCUGAAGGACAGUGUUACAGCAACUAAUCAACAAGGAAGCCACAGGCCCGCCCCUCCCCCACUCGAUUUAAGCAGUCUUCAUUUUCCACAGUAGUACAUUUUCUAGAUACGUCUUGUAGACCUCAAAGUACUGGAAAGGAAGCUCCCGCUCAAAGGCAGUUUAUCUUAAGAUACUGUAAAUGAUACUAAUUUUUUGUCCAUUUGAAAUAUAUAAGUUGUGCUAUAACAAAUCAUCCUGUCAAGUGUAACCACUGUCCACAUAGUUGAACUUCUGGGAUCAAGAAAGUAUAUUUAAAUUGAUUCCCAUCAUAACUGGUGGGGCACAUCUAACUCAACUGUGAAAAGACACGUCACACAAUCACCUUGCUGCUGAUUACAUGGCCUGGGGGCUCUGCCUUCUCCCUCUCCUCCCCCCUCCCCCUCCCUCCCUGCAACAGCCCUCCAGCUUGGGGUGGCUUGUUAGAGUAGAUGUGAAGGUUUCAGGUCACAGCCUGUGGGACUACUGCUGGGUGUGUGUGGGUGCUUCGUUUGCACCCCUGGUUUCUUUUUAAGUCUUAAAUGAUGCCCCUUCCCCUUCUGAGCCACCAUCCUUUCCCCACUCUACUACCACCCUUGGCCGAAGCAUAGAUUGUAACCCCCUCUGCUCCCCUCCGAAAUUGGCCUUUGGUGAGGAAUUCAGGGCUUUCCCCAUAACUUCCCCCACCACCUUUAUAUCGAGGGGUGCUGCUUCCUCCUUCCUCCUCUUCAGGUCCCUUUCUUGCACCAUCACCACCCAACACUUUCCAUGACACUCCCUUGCUUUGGCCAGAAGCCAUCAGGUAAGGUUGGAAAGAGUCUCUGACCUCCCUCGUUUAGUUUGGAACCACAUUCAUUUAUUCUCCAGCAGCCCAGGAAAUGAAAAUUGGGCCCGCAGCCCUGCCGCUCUCUGCUGUCAUCAUCAGCUGAUAGGUUUGUUUGUUAAGCUCAGGAAGGCCACAGAAGACACUUGUAAGCACAUGAUCCCUCUGAAUGAAUUUUGUUGUUGUUCCUGUCAUUGCUUUUGCUUUUACAAAUUGAAAUUUUAAACAGAGCUCUCAUUUGGUCAUCUUUGCAAUCCAUUUGGGUCUAGUUUGGAAUCUGACAACUGGAACAAAAAGAACCUUGAAUUCGGUGCAUACUUUGGUUUUGGUGCUGCAGCUUCUCAUGGUCCUCAGCAGGGAUUAAGAAAGAACUCGAUGUGCACGGCAGAACCCCAAAAUUGGCGGGCUUGACUUCCUGGCAAAUGGCUGCGUUUUUCCACUUUUCUGUUCAGGACCACUAAUUGCUGAGAUGUGGAUGCAUACCGAAAUAAAGUGAUUCAUUGUGUUAUAAAGGAUUUUUUUUUUUUUUGGUAAUUUAGUAUUUGUGUAAAACCACCUUUCGAAGCAGCAACUAUCAAGUCUGAAAAGCAAUUGAUGUUUUCAUUAAUCUUUUUCUGGGGAAAACCUUAGUUGUAAGGAUUUAACAUCCUGUAAGUAAAGUUUAACAUAACAGUAUUCCAUAAGCAGCCUUUUUAUUGUCAGACCAUUGCCUGAUUUUAAUAUAAUAAAAAAAAGUGUGCGUUAAUA